UGGGGAAUAUUGCACAAUGGAGGGAACUCUGAUGCAGCGACGCCGCGUGAACGAAGAAGGCUUUCGAGUCGUAAAGUUCUUUUAUAUGGGAAGAUAAUGACGGUACCAUAAGAAAAAGCCCCGGCUAACUACGUGCCAGCAGCCGCGGUAAUACGUAGGGGGCUAGCGUUGUCCGGAAUCACUGGGCGUAAAGGGUUCGCAGGCGGAAAUGCAAGUCAGGUGUAAAAGGCAGUAGCUUAACUACUGUAAGCAUUUGAAACUGCAUAUCUUGAGAAGAGUAGAGGUACGUGGAAUUUUUAGUGUAGCGGUGAAAUGCGUAGAUAUUAAAAAGAAUACCGGUGGCGAAGGCGGCUUACUGGGCUCAUUCUGACGCUGAGGAACGAAAGCGUGGGUAGCAAACAGG
rnacentral:rRNA from 1 species